UGACGUCAUAUGAUCGACUUCCGGUCUUGCUCGCGGCUGAGAGUGCUAACAUGGCGAGCUAAAAUGGUUGUGUUCCAUUCAGUCACGAGGGCUCUAAGUUUCUUUUAUGUGGCUUGAGCAAAAUACCGCGUUUGAACCUUGAUACACGAAGUCGUCUGUGUAGGGCAAAACUGCUACUACUAGUUUUCUUCUUUCUAAGGUAAAAGGAGCACAGCAUCACAAUGGGGCGACGUUCAACUUCCUCCACCAAGAGUGGGAAAUUCAUGAACCCCACGGAUCAGGCCAG